rnacentral:rRNA from 1 species
UACGAAGGGGGCUAGCGUUGCUCGGAAUUACUGGGCGUAAAGCGUGCGCAGGCGGUUUUAUAAGCCAGAUGUGAAAGCCCCGGGCUCAACCUGGGAAUGGCAUUUGGGACUGUAAGGCUGGAGUAUGGCAGAGGAGACUAGAAUUCCUGGUGUAGCAGUGAAAUGCGUAGAUAUCAGGAGGAACACCGGUGGCGAAGGCGGGUCUCUGGGCCGAUACUGACGCUGAGGAGCGAAAGCGUGGGGAGCGAACAGG